UCAGAUAGCACUGUGGAAGGAGGACCCACUGGAGGUCAAACAAAUGUGACUCUUCGAAAUGAACAUGUCUCAUACAUUAUCACUUGGUACUCACUGAGUGCUGCCACUACGUUUCUCUGGUACCACAAGUACAUUCGUCAUCGGCCUCUCAUGUGAUGGCUGCGAAAUAAUUGGCACUGGCAGCGUGCAUGUCUAUUGAAGAUGUUAUAGGAAAAUGUGCCGAGGAAGUCAACUAGGCAAAGCUGUAAAACAGGUGUUGUGCAUAUCUGAAUUAGUUAAAUAAAAAUCAUGUCACCUAGCAUUCUGUUAGCAUUUUUGUGUAUGCAGCCAGACUAUCUGUGCUUGAGAGCAUGCAAAAGGUGGGGAGAAGGGAAGUUACAGCUAUGUGGUGAUGACGGAGGGGCAUUGUCCUUCCUUGCCUCGGUAACAUUUUGUUGUCAUGGGAUAAAAGGCAGAUAUAAAUAAAAGAGAAGCCCUGGA